UUUUAACCUUCACCUUUAUAUAAUAGUAGGGUGCGCUGUCAUCACGUAAACAAUUACAUGUGGAAAAGAAGAACUGAUAAAAAUAAGUAAGAAAAUGAAUCAGAUUACUAGAAGAGUAUUGUCACAUCAUUUGUUCAAGAAACUGAAGUUUGUCCGACAGCUCAAGCAUUCUUGUUGUAAUGUCACAUCCACUGGUCAAUGGGAUAUAAUCAAAGAUCAAAGACAUUUCUCCACGGCAUCAUCCAGUGACAAGAAGAUUUUAAGUGUUUCUACCUUAUUAUUACAAGAUGGUCUGGAUAUUGAUGAGUUACCUAUUAUUAUACGACAUUCAGACAGAUCAACAUUUCCUUUUACUGAUACGGGUAAUACCCAGUCAGAAAAGACUAUGAAGCAUGAAUCUCAAGAAGACAAACAGUUCAAGUCACAUAUUCAAGAGUGUGCCUCAGUAAAACAGAUCUUUCAGCUUCUUGAGAUUCCAUCCGAUUUUGUGAAUGUGCUUUCUGCAACUAAUGCACUUUUUAAAAUUUGUCAGUUACAAAAUGACAAUAAAGGUUUAGAUGACUUACAUUCAUUUAUUCACAAAGCUAUAAUGAAUGAAUUGUGUGACACUGUAAGUAAUGAGAUUUGUACAUUAACAAAAGACACGUUAAUAGCAGUAUUUCAGUGUUCGAAACGAUCAGAAGGCAUAUUAGACAGAUGUUUUUCUUCUGUUGUGCAAGAAAUUGAACAGAGGAUAGGUGACGGUAGAUUUUCCAUUGAUGAACUAUGUCUCCUCGCUGAAAUUUUACAUACUCCACAUAAAGACAAAAGACAACGACAAUUACACAAAUAUUUGUGGAUUCACAUUGGUAAUCGGUAUAAGGACAUUUCUGAGACAAAUGUUGCAAAAGUCUUACGAUUAUAUCCCAGAUCUAUAAAACAUGAACACUACAUAAAAUUGAUUGGAAAUCAGAUUGCUGUAUUUUGGUGGAAACUGAAAGGGGAAGAUUUUGCUUCCGUUGUAACAUCUUUAAUCCAGCUCAAUUAUCAUGACAAUAGACUCUUCUCAAGGCUUGCUCGUUGGUUUUCUGUAAAUGUUCAUGCUGUAAGAGAAAUUGAUUUAAUGGUUAUGUUGACAGCAUACAAUCGUUUAAAGCAUCCUGUUUUACAUUUCUUUGAUACACUAGAGAAGUACGUUGCUGCAAAAAUAGACAAAAUUGAUGUCAACCUAUUGGCACUAAUUGUGCAGUUGUGUCGUACAAAAAAGUAUUUAUCACCUGUUAUUUUAGACGCGGCUGCAUCACAUUUUAAACAGCAUGGACAGGAAUAUACACCAUUACAGUUGUUGACUAUUCUCAGAUGCUUUGGACAUUUAAAUUAUUUGCCAAAUGAACCAACAGAGUUUCUUUUCAAAGUAGAAUCAGUGUUAGAUGAAGCUUUCGAGGAUCUUGGAGUUGAACGAAUAUGUGCUAUUUUGUCCUCCUUUGCAAUGAUUGGCAAAGUGUCUAUGAAUUUAGCCCCCAGAGUAUUUGAUGAAUUGUUUUUAAUCAGAAUCAAAGAGACCUUACACAGGCUACCGGCAUAUAUAAACAAAAUCAGUUUGCAUAGUGAAACUACAGUUCUCCAAUUUUGGCUAUAAAUACAAACACAAACACAUCUGUCAUCUGAGACACGUUUUCACAACAUUUUCUCCGAAAAAGAUAAAUAACAAUGUCUUCUACAUCCCAAAAACACAAGAAUUUUGUUUCUGAACCUAUGGUUGAAAAGGCUGUAACUGAAAUAUCAGGCACACACUUCACUGGGGCAGUUUUUACUGCUGAAGAAGGAGGAGAAAAUGUUCAAGUGUUGGUUAAAAGAUACAUGUGGCGCCAAUCCUAAACAACAAAAUGAUUUUUACAAGUGUUUAAAAGAAUGGUGUGAUUCCUUCUUAGGCUGACCUUAAAAAUAUCUUUGUUUCACCAAACCCGACCCACAAUCGAGGAGAAGGGUCGGUAGGUCGUUUUUUUUUUCAGAUUUUUUUUUUAAAGUUAGAGAAAUCAAAACAGAAAACUUAUUAGCUGUAUACUACAGAUUCAUUAAUUUUGUUUAAUGAAUUUGGGUUCUGACGUAAAAAGUAACGAACUGAAAGUCUUUUUAUUAAACUUAAGAGCUAAUUUGACAGCUUAACAAUUUUCCGGGUGGAAACAUUCGUCUUCUUUAUUCAAUUGGCAAAAAAAUCAAUGACAUCGGGAAUUUUUCGUGAUGCCCGACUCGCACACGAUUUGCCACGAACUUGAAGUGUGAAACUCCUUCAACACGUUUUUAACGAUAGUGCGGGUUGUGCCUUCAUUUUUCUCGAAAACGGAUAUUGAUAAUAUCGUCGUUAUGUUUAAAACUACGCACCACAGACAAAGAAGCAGAAUCAUUUCGUGGGAAUGGACGUGUAUUCGUCUGCAACCAUUUUGUUGAGAAGCGACACCUAUGACGCUAUCGUCUUGAUCAACCAGUUUCAAUAAUGAAUCAAACCGUAGCCAUAGUAAAGGGAAAUAACUCUUGUGAUAUAUUUCAGGUUGACGCACAAAAUAAAAUAAAAAGAUCGUGGAAAAGUGCAAUAAAAUAAUUUAAGUCGGGGGUGGUUUUAGUUAGUCGGUCGCGUUAGGCGAAACAAAGAUAUUUUUAAGGUCAGCCUUAUAAUUCUAAAGAGUUGUAUAAUAUUUAAUAACUGUCUAUAGUUACAAUUUUAUUGUGUGAUACAUAUGUUCAAGUAUGUUGUAUUCUCAAAAUCGAAAUCACUGCAAUGUUAAAUUGUAUUGGUAUAAUAAUGCUUUGAAUGUGUCUAUUAUAAUGCUUUGAGAAAAACAAUGUUCUAGAGAUAUUAUUAUUUACAUGUCAUCUGGAAAAAAUGUCUAGAAAAUAAUAUAUGUAGUUUUUGAAGCCUAUUAGGAUUAGUUCAGUUGAAUGCUCAUGGUUAUUGAUCUACAUUAGCUCACACUAUUAUAUAAACUGAAGCAUAAUUUGCACAUACACAAAUCUAUAGGUAUGUUAAAUAAGAUGACAAAGCAACAAAAUGAAUACAAAAUUUAUGGAAAAAUUUGUUUAGUCAGUCUUUCUGAUAUACAUGUACUAAAUAAAAUGUAAAGUUCUUAUGAAAUUGGAUCGAGGUUAAGCAAUAAAUUUUAACAUUUAUUAUCUAUGUAAUGUUUUCUUUUAAAUCAGUACACUGUUUGCCUAGGCUGUACUGCCCUGUAGUUUGUUGAAUAUUAUGAUCAAAUAUUUUUAAUCUUAAUUCUGACUUAAAUAUAAUAAUUUUUAUUGUCACCAGGAUGAGAAUUUAGAUGUAAAUUGUUAAAUUUCUGUGUUACACUAGUAUCUUCCUUUAUUUGUUUAUAAAAAUCAAUCAUAAAUAGAUUUUAAUCAUGCUGUUA